rnacentral:hammerhead_ribozyme from 1 species
AUUCAGCUGACGAGUCUCAAAUAAGACGAAACACAUAUCCAAGAU